rnacentral:rRNA from 1 species
CCUCACACAGGGGGAUAACAGUUAGAAAUGACUGCUAAUACCGCAUAAGACCACAGCACCGCAUGGUGCAGGGGUAAAAACUCCGGUGGUGUGAGAUGGGCCCGCGUCUGAUUAGGUAGUUGGUGCGGUAACGGCGCACCAAGCCGACGAUCAGUAGCCGACCUGAGAGGGCGACCGGCCACAUUGGGACUGAGACACGGCCCAAACUCCUACGGGAGGCAGCAGUGGGGAAUAUUGGGCAAUGGGCGCAAGCCUGACCCAGCAACGCCGCGUGAAGGAAGAAGGCCCUCGGGUUGUAAACUUCUUUUGUCAGGGACGAAGCAAGUGACGGUACCUGACGAAUAAGCCACGGCUAACUACGUGCCAGCAGCCGCGGUAAUACGUAGGUGGCAAGCGUUAUCCGGAUUUACUGGGUGUAAAGGGCGUGUAGGCGGGAUUGCAAGUCAGAUGUGAAAACCACGGGCUCAACCUGUGGCCUGCAUUUGAAACUGCAGUUCUUGAGUACUGGAGAGGCAGACGGAAUUCCUAGUGUAGCGGUGAAAUGCGUAGAUAUUAGGAGGAACACCAGUGGCGAAGGCGGUCUGCUGGACAGCAACUGACGCUGAGGCGCGAAAGCGUGGGGAGCAAACAGGAUUAGAUACCCUGGUAGUCCACGCUGUAAACGAUGGAUACUAGGUGUGGGGGGUCUGACCCCCUCCGUGCCGCAGU